rnacentral:rRNA from 1 species
AUUGAACGCUGGCGGCGUGCCUAACACAUGCAAGUCGAGCGGUAACAGGUGUAGCAAUACAUGCUGACGAGCGGCGAACGGGUGAGUAAUGCUUUGGAAUCUUCCCAGUAGUGGGGAAUAACCAGUCGAAAGAUUGGCUAAUACCGCAUACGUCUGUAAAGGGAAAGCGGGGGACUCGCCUCUUCUUCGGAAGAGAGGCCUCGCGCUAUUGGAUGAGCCAAAGCGGAUUAGCUAGUUGGUGGGGUAAUGGCCUACCAAGGCGACAAUCCGUAGCUGGUCUGAGAGGACGACCAGCCACACCGGAACUGAGACACGGUCCGGACUCCUACGGGAGGCAGCAGUGGGAAUAUUGGACAAUGGGGAAACCCUGAUCCAGCGACGCCGCGUGUGUGAAGAAGGCCUGCGGGUUGUAAAGCACUUUUAGUGGGGACAAAAAGCUACGGAUUAAUACUCUGUGGUCUUGA